GAGCUAUCUCCCUGCAGGGUGCUGACAUACGUACCCACUUCAUAACUACAUCAGGGUGUGGAGUCUGUUUAUUCCACAGAUCGCUUCAGCGGUGCCCGAAAAGCCGCAGUGUGCCAGGCUUUCCAGCCAACAUCCCGGGCUAAAUGGAAAGACAAACACGAAGGAAUGACUUCAGAGAGCAGCUUGGGGCCUGUGCCCAGCCCGUGAGCUCGCUCGGCCUCUUGGCAUCCCGUGCUGGGCCUGCUGCUGCAGCGAGGAGUGGAGGAUUUCCAGAUCCAUGGGUUUAUUGGCUUGGAGAGGCGGGAAGACAGGCAGUCAACAUCCAUUAAUGUACCGCAAACUAGAAACACCUGUUGGCCUCCAAAGCUGGGUUUUGGCUGGUUUACAGAGAGAGAGGGUGGAACAGGUGGCCCUGUGGCCAGCAGGAACGUUGAGAGGGUGCAGAGGCCCCACAAAUAUGGAAUUAUGGAAGGAGAAAGCGGCCGCACCGUUCCACGCAGCACAUGUGUCACUGUCUGCAAGCUGAGCCACGGGAAACUGCAGCCCCAUAAAAUUAAGUGUGUCUGGGAGGAAACCAGCCAUGCUGGGGCUGGGGAGUCUCAGCCCAGAAUGUCCAGGAUGCUCUAUAAUUCUGUAAUUCCAUGAUAAACUGCAGAGGAACAAAUUCCCUGAGCUGGUGCUUUGAUCCUGGUGUCACUGAUGCAAGAGGAGUACCAUUUUCCAAGAUUUCUUCAAAGAGCUCAGCCCUACCUGUUUGCCAGCUCUUAAAUACCAUGCUUGGCUGAUGGACAAGCUGAUAGCACAGGACGUGGCCGAGCUCUGCACAAGCCGCCCUUGUUCCACUGCCUUCCCGAGCCAAAAUACAAGAAAAUCCCAGCAGGAAUCUCCUCUGGCCUCGCACUCCUCUCCCCUCCCAGCAGAAGGCUAACCUUGUGA